AUCAUUAUCCAGCCAAAUAGAUGCAUAUGCAUCAUUCUCUUCUGCUUCCAUCUUUGAAAGUGCAUUGGGAAGGUAAUUUACACUUUUCACGGUGGCAAAUUGCGGGGGUUUUAUUGGGACUGAAGAAGUUACUACCUUGAUGCCUCUUGAAUCAUGUGGAGACUGAUCUUGGAUUACAAUGGCAUAAAGAGCUGGCUGAUGGCAGUCAGAUGGAGAUAGUUGGAAAUCACCAGGUCCUGCCGAGAGCCAGUAUCUUAGUGAUCCUGUCUUGCACUUUGAAGCACUCACUGUUUGUAUGAGUAUUCUCCUUAUAUUUUCCCUAUCAAAAGGGAGAUUGAUUUUGGCCAAGGAUGCUGACCUUAAUAUACGAUCAAGGUGUUGGUCGAAUUCAUAUAAGUGCCUGAGAUGUGGUAACAGAUGAGGAUCUUGAUUAGCAAUUAAUACUUGAUUGAAAGCUAAGUGAGGAAUACUUGUUCAAAUGGAAAUAUCAAUGAUUCAUCAACAUAUUACCGCAUGUUUUCCUUUUUUCAGUUGCCAAAGCAGUUUAAUUUUCUUGUCCUUAAAAUUUAGAUGAUGAUUGUUCCAUCAUAUGCAUUGCAGAAAAUGUUCGAAGAAUCGUAUGAAACAGGGAGGUAAAAUAAUAUACUUGAAAUACAAUGAGGUUAAAAAUGCAAAACUUGGAAAUUGUACGGUUGCACAAAAUCAGCAUUUUAAAGGAAUAUUAAAGAACUUGGAAAUUGUACUGUUUCCUGCAAAACUUCAAGAGCUUGCAACCAUUUAAAAUGUGAACCAAGCUUGACAGAUACAAUAGAAUCAAGAGUUGAAUUAGUGGAGCCAAGAACUGUUUAUACUGUAACUGUAAGACAUUGUCACGUUGAAUCCUUAUAAACUUAAACAUAAUAUUAUGCCUGUGCUUUGCUAUUUGAGCUUUUGGAGCAUUGGUAGUAUAACCAAUAGACUUAGAAACAUGAAAUUCGUUUACAGGUCUUGGUAGUUCAAUGGAUGCAAACAGCAUAAUACUAUUCCUACUUAUGAAUAACAAAAAAAACUUCGAAUUGUCUAUAAUAGUAUUAGACUAUUCAAGAAGAAAAGGUAAUCCAUCUGAAAAGUAAAUUAUACCAACCCAUCUACUAUUGCAGCAGUAUCAAAGACACCAUGUCCCCUGUGGACCAUGUGGUCAUCCAAAGGUAUCACCAUGGCUGAUGUAUCUGUUGUUAUUCCUCCAAAAAUGCUAGAGUACAUGGCCAAGAAUUGCUGCUUUCCUUUCUGAUUUUCUCGGUUUUUCUUUAGCCUUUCAAAAGCCUUCAAAAACAUAUAUAUAAAUGGCAUUUAACCAAGCCUUCCCCUUCUCCCAUUGCACCAAAAUGGAAUCAGACCAAAAAAAGUUUCUAAGCAAUUAAGGAAUACAUCUUGACUUUUAAUCUUUAAUAUAAAACAGAAAUGUCCUCCACUAACACCAAAUUAAGCCCAGAUCAACAAAACUAUGCAACUUGUAUUCACUAUUAUAGCAUCGCUUUAAGGACUAAUCAAUUUUCACCAAUCUCUCUCCAUAACACAAUUUAAAAUCUACUCUUAUUUAGCAGUAAAGUACAGUGAACCGUUUAUUUUUUAAGAGAGAGAGAGAGAGGACGAACCUCUAAGCAGGUUAGGAUUGGAACAUCAGAGAUUUGAGUAUUAGAAUCUGUCACCGCAAAGGAAAGACAUUAGUAUUAAAUUUCUCACUAGUCUUUACAUUCUAUGAUUUGUAGAGUAGAAAUUGAAAUCUAAGGAAGCCAGUAAGGGAUCACAUGGCAUGGUGACUGGUUGAAUUUUCAAAGAACACAACUUACCAACCAAAGCUUCAGCUUGAUGAGAGCAUCUAGCAAUCUUCACUUUCCCAAACAACCCAUGUUGUGAAAUCAACCCAAGUCUUUGAAAUGAAAGAUUUCUCGGUACAAGACACGAAUUAUGAAAGUGAUCAGGCAGAUUUAUGCUAGUAUUUGGGUGUUGAAAACUGGGUUUUGGCAGAGAAGUUGAAAGAGAAGCCAUGGGACCCCAAACUAGUGAGAGAGUUUCUUCAAACUGCGGCUUGAUCGUAGGUUGAUGGUGGUGAUGAUUAGUGUUUUAAAGUGCAGUGUUGGUGACUUCAUGUGAAUGGAUUCCAAAGGAAAAGGCAGUGCUAGUGUAUAAAUUUCGCCGGCGGAGAUUUAUAUAGAAAGGGUAAACUACAGUUAUACCCUCUUACUAUUUUAUAAAUUUCGGUUUGGUCCUUCUCCCACUGAUUUACCAGCUCAACCUAUCAAAAUUGCAAGUAGUCUCUCCCCUCCCACGGUUCCUUCUCCCACUGAUUUACCGACUCAACCUAUCCAAAUUGCAAAUAAUCUUCCAAACCGUGGUUUCUACAUAAUUAUAAUAAAAAAUUAUAGUUAGAGAGUCAGAUUAUGGUGAAAAACAAAGAAGAAUGUAGACAAACAACUAUUUUUCAAGGACAAAACUCGUUGAUCUCAGUAAACUCUAUUUAAAUAUAAAAGUUUUAUUUAAAUUUUGUUUUUUUUAUUUUAUUUACUGAAAAUUAAAAAAGUAGAUUGGAUCUCAUAGAUGUUUAUGAAUCGGGUUGAUCAUUUAUUUUUUAGUUGAUGAGAUGGUGAUUUAAUAGUAAAAAUGGAUUUUUUAAGGUUUUAUGAUGUUUUUUUAUAUAUUUUCAGAUGGAAUAAAAGUGAAAAUUAGAUUUUUUUACCUUUUAGAGUCGGUUGUCUAAUUUUAUAGUCAUUAUUUAAAAUAGCAAGUGAGACGUUGCUUACUAUUUAAAAAAAUUAAAAACCAAUAAGGGCAAACCUUAAAAAAAUAAAAUAUAAUUAAAAAAAGUUACAAACAAUUGUGUUGACCUUUUUUUAAAGUCCAAGCAUGAUCGGGCAACUUCGUCAAUGAACCUAACUUUUUUAAAAAAAGAAUUAUCUUUCAAAACUAAGUCUUGAUUGAUUUUUCUUGUUGAGUUUUUUAUAAUUUUAUCCUUUAAUAAUUUGUUUUAUUUUGAUAAUUAUAAGUUUUUUACGGUGUAAAAAAAAAUACCCUUAUAUUUGAUUAAUAUUUAAUUUUACGAGUAUCAAUUUUUUUAUAUAAAUAAAUAAAAAAUAAUUUUAAAAUAAACAAAGUUACUGAACCUAGUGAAGUCCAUCCCUUGGAUUAUAUAUUUAGCAUGGUACCCUGUUUUCUAUAUUUUCUUGAAAAUGACUCGCCCCACUUGUAAUUUCUUUAAGAAAAUCCAUUUAAUUAUGUUUUUCAAGUGAUCUAGAUCCUCUGUUUAUCUUGCAGUAAGCAAGCAUAUCCACUGCAGGUCACUUUGCAGGAUGAAAGAAAACCUUAGCACUGCACCAUAAUGUACCCUUUACCUUCUUUGAUAACAAGGAAAGGGGGGAGAUAUGGAUGUAUUUCUUUGAAAUGUAAUUUGAAGUUGACUGUAAAUUGCAGUUUCGAAAUUUUGACGCUGGAUCCACCAAACUAUACAGCUACAUCAGAUGCCUUCACUCUCCACUGGAGAUGGUGAGCACUGAAUAAGCAAUUCGAAUCAAUUUAUUUUUUUACAGAAGAUAGGUUUUGCUUUUACACAGAAAAUAUGUAGCUCCUACAUCAAGCUCCAAAGCCUGUGAAAGGAAAGCAGUAGUAUUUUGUCGUUGAAGUCCCACUUUGCAGCACCAAAGAAAGGAAGAAAUAAUGGAGUCAAGGGACCGGAACUCGGACUGCAGGGGGGCCUGAUUUCAUGUCCUCUAGUAUAAGAGCCAAGAGAGCCCGAGUUAUGGGUCCUUCUUUGCCUACAAAUGAAUGCACGCCAAAAUAUAAAUUUUAGGAAAAUGAUAAGUUUCCAACUGCAUUGUUUUUCAAAUAUGAUAAGGUUUCCACCGAGAUAUAAAUUUUGGGAAAAUGGCUUGCAUAAGGGACAGAAUGAAAUGCAGCGCACUUGGAGUGAAAAAUAAGUGGCAAGGCAGUGCAAAGAGGGAGAAAAUAUAGUACAAUCAUUUACCAAAGUUUUCCAGUCAUGUGCUUCUGUGAAUUUAGCAUUUGUGAGCUUCGAAAGGGGCCUCCAAUGGAAGAUUUAUGGUACAGUGGAUGUACCAAAGUUUCGGCCAUACAAAAAGAAAACUCAGCAACAAGAAAACAGUCAUGCACGUACUUUCAUCAAUGGCUAAAGAGCCACCCAAAAUGGAUGGCAUCCUAUUGAUUUAAUGGAAAGUACCCUUGCUUUGUACUCUGAAUUGAAGAGAAGCAAGAAAAAACUUCGAUCAAUUUUAUAAGGUUCUGAAAACCAUGUUGGCUCAAUAUCAACCUAGCAUCAUGCUUGCAUGUAAAAUUCAGCUUGAAGGAUGCAUAGUUUAUUGCAGAGAAGUUUCUUACCAUCACCAAUGACCUGAUUGUCCCACUGCACCACAGGGCGAACAAGUACUCCACUGCCAAUAAGCAUCAUCUCAUCUGCUUUCUUUCCUUCCUCUACAGUCACAUCAUCAAUCUUUAUUCCAUGGAGUUUACCCUCCUUUACCAAUCCCUCUGCUAGUGUCAAAACUCUCUUAGCCGUGCACCCACUCAAAAUUUUGUCAAAGGCGGGCAUCAGAAGGUCUUUUUCCUUGGUAACAAAUGCUACAUUCAUGCUGGGCCCUUCAGCAACGAAUCCAUCAUUAUCCAGCCAAAUAGAUGCAUAUGCAUCAUUCUCUUCUGCUUCCAUCUUUGAAAGUGCAUUGGGAAGGUAAUUUACACUUUUCACGGUGGCAAAUUGCGGGGGUUUUAUUGGGACUGAUGAAGUUACUACCUUGAUGCCUCUUGAAUCAUGUGGAGACUGAUCUUGGAUUACAAUGGCAUAAAGAGCUGGCUGAUGGCAGUCAGAUG
rnacentral:lncRNA from 1 species